UAGGGAAUCUUCCGCAAUGGACGCAAGUCUGACGGAGCAACGCCGCGUGAGUGAAGAAGGAUUUCGGUUCGUAAAACUCUGUUGUCAGAGAAGAACAGCGCAUAGAGUAACUGUUAUGCGUGUGACGGUAUCUAACCAGAAAGCCACGGCUAACUACGUGCCAGCAGCCGCGGUAAUACGUAGGUGGCAAGCGUUGUCCGGAUUUAUUGGGCGUAAAGCGAGCGCAGGCGGUCAAUUAAGUCUGAUGUGAAAGCCCCCGGCUCAACCGGGGAGGGUCAUUGGAAACUGGUUGACUUGAGUGCAGAAGAGGGGAGUGGAAUUCCAUGUGUAGCGGUGAAAUGCGUAGAUAUAUGGAGGAACACCAGUGGCGAAGGCGACUCUCUGGUCUGUAACUGACGCUGAGGCUCGAAAGCGUGGGUAGCAAACAGG
rnacentral:rRNA from 1 species